GGGACGUUAGCUCAGUUGGUUUAGAGCACUACUUUGACAGAGUAGGGGUCACUGGUUCGAGUCCAGUACGUCCCA
rnacentral:tRNA from 4 species